rnacentral:rRNA from 1 species
UACGGGGGGGGCAAGCGUUGUUCGGAAUUACUGGGCGUAAAGGGUUUGUAGGUGGCCGGCUAAGUCAGACGUGAAAUCCCUCAGCUUAACUGGGGAACUGCGUCUGGGACUGGUCGGCUUGAGUGCCGGAGAGGAACGCGGAAUUCCAGGUGUAGCGGUGAAAUGCGUAGAUAUCUGGAGGAACACCGGUGGCGAAGGCGGCGUUCUGGACGGCAUCUGACACUGAGAAACGAAAGCCAGGGGAGCAAACGGG